rnacentral:rRNA from 1 species
CCUACGGGAGGCAGCAGUGAGGAAUAUUGGUCAAUGGACGAGAGUCUGAACCAGCCAAGUAGCGUGAAGGAUGACUGCCCUAUGGGUUGUAAACUUCUUUUAUAUGGGAAUAAAACGUUCCACGUGUGGGAUUUUGUAUGUACCAUAUGAAUAAGGAUCGGCUAACUCCGUGCCAGCAGCCGCGGUAAGACGGAGGAUCCGAGCGUUAUCCGGAUUUAUUGGGUUUAAAGGGAGCGUAGGUGGAUUGUUAAGUCAGUUGUGAAAGUUUGCGGCUCAACCGUAAAAUUGCAGUUGAAACUGGCAGUCUUGAGUACAGUAGAGGUGGGCGGAAUUCGUGGUGUAGCGGUGAAAUGCUUAGAUAUCACGAAGAACUCCGAUUGCGAAGGCAGUUCACUGGACUGCAACUGACACUGAGGCUCGAAAGUGUGGGUAUCAAACAGGAUUAGAUACCCGUGUAGUC